rnacentral:rRNA from 1 species
GACGAACGCUGGCGGCGCGCUUUAUACAUGCAAGUCGAACGUGAAGCUCGGAGCUUGCUCCGGGUGGAAAGUGGCGAACGGGUGAGUAUCACGUGAGAAACCUGCCCCGAAGACCGGGAUAACACCGGGAAACCGGUGCUAAUACCGGAUGCCCUCACCGGAUCGCAUGGUCUGGUGAGGAAAUGGAUUCCGCUUCGGGAUGGUCUCGCGGCCUAUCAGCUUGUUGGUGGGGUAAUGGCCCACCAAGGCUUCGACGGGUAGCUGGUCUGAGAGGAUGUCCAGCCACACUGGGACUGAGACACGGCCCAGACUCCUACGGGAGGCAGCAGUAGGGAAUCUUGCACAAUGGACGAAAGUCUGAUGCAGCGACGCCGCGUGUGGGAUGACUGCCCUCGGGUUGUAAACCACUUUCAGCAGGGACGAAAUUGACGGUACCUGCAGAAGAAGCCCCGGCAACUACGUGCCAG